UACGAACUGUGCGAACGUUAUUCGGAAUCACUGGGCUUAAAGGGUGCGUAGGCGGUUAUCCAAGUCAGGUGUGAAAUCUCUCGGCUCAACCGGGAAACUGCGCUUGAAACUGGGUGACUGGAGUGAGGCAGGGGUGUAUGGAACUUCCGGUGGAGCGGUGAAAUGUGUAGAUAUCGGAAGGAACGCCAGCAGCGAAAGCGGUACACUGGGCCUUUUCUGACGCUGAGGCACGAAAGCUAGGGGAGUGAAC
rnacentral:rRNA from 1 species